GCACCGGCUAACUCCGUGCCAGCAGCCGCGGUAAUACGGAGGGUGCGAGCGUUAAUCGGAAUUACUGGGCGUAAAGCGCAUGCAGGUGGUUUGUUAAGUCAGAUGUGAAAGACCCGGGGCUCAACCUCGGAAUAGCAUUUGAAACUGGCAGACUAGAGUACUGUAGAGGGGGGUAGGAAUUUCAGGUGUAGCGGUGAAAUGCGUAGAGAUCUGAAGGAAUACCGGUGGCGAAGGCGGCCCCCUCGGACAGAUACUGACACUCAGAUGCGAAAGCGUGGGGAGCAAACAGGAUUAGAUACCCUGGUAG
rnacentral:rRNA from 1 species